AGGGGCGUAGCUCAGCCCGGCCAGAGCAACGGACUCCAAACCCGUACGCCGCAGGUUCGAAUCCUGCCGCCCCUGCCA
rnacentral:tRNA from 1 species